rnacentral:rRNA from 1 species
UUGAGAGCUUGCUUUUAUUAUUUUAGCGGCGGAUGGGUGAGUAACGUGUGGGUAACCUGCCUUUUACUGGGGAAUAAUCACUGGAAACGGUGACUAAUACCGCAUAAUAUUCUUAGGAGGCAUCUUCUGAGAAGGAAAGGAGAAAUUCGGUAAAAGAUGGGCCCGCAUCUGAUUAGCUAGUUGGUGAGAUAACAGCCCACCAAGGCGACGAUCAGUAGCCGACCUGAGAGGGUGACCGGCCACAUUGGGACUGAGACACGGCCCAAACUCCUACGGGAGGCAGCAGUGGGGAAUAUUGCACAAUGGGGGAAACCCUGAUGCAGCAACGCCGCGUGAAGGAAGACGGUUUUCGGAUUGUAAACUUCUAUCAAUAGGGAAGAAAGAAAUGACGGUACCUAAAUAAGAAGCCCCGGCUAACUACGUGCCAGCAGCCGCGGUAAUACGUAGGGGGCAAGCGUUAUCCGGAAUUACUGGGUGUAAAGGGAGAGUAGGCGGCAAGGUAAGCGAUAUGUGAAAGCCUUAGGCUUAACCUGAGGAUUGCAUAACGAACUAUCUAGCUAGAGUACAGGAGAGGAAAGCGGAAUUCCUAGUGUAGCGGUGAAAUGCGUAGAUAUUAGGAAGAACACCAGUGGCGAAGGCGGCUUUCUGGACUGAGACUGACGCUGAGGCUCGAAAGCGUGGGGAGCGAACAGGAUUAGAUACCCUGGUAGUCCACGCUGUAAACGAUGAGUGCUAGGUGUCGGGGAGGAAUCCUCGGUGCCGGAGCAAACGCAAUAAGCACUCCACCUGGGGAGUACGACCGCAAGGUUGAAACUCAAAGGAAUUGACGGGGGCC